rnacentral:rRNA from 1 species
GACAGAGGGUGCAAACGUUGUUCGGAAUUACUGGGCGUAAAGCGCGUGUAGGCGGCCAUCUAAGUCGGCGUGAAAUCCCACGGCUCAACCGUGGAAGUGCACUCGAAACUGGAUGGCUAGAGUCCUGGAGAGGAAGGUGGAAUGCUUGGUGUAGAGGUGAAAUUCGUAGAUAUCAAGCGGAACACCGGUGGCGAAGGCGGCGACCUGGUCCUUGACUGACGCUGAGGCGCGAAAGCGUGGGGAGCAAACAGG